rnacentral:lncRNA from 10 species
ACCCUGAGAAGAGACCUCCAGAGUCCAAAAAUUUCAAGAAAUAUACCAAUUUCUGAAGGAUGGCAGCCUUCAAAAGAUCUAGGAAGUAACCUUAGACAUUUAGAAUCAGAACUUCCAUUUCUAAGUAUGCUUACCGACAUCAAUGUAAGAAAUUACAUAUUCCAAGAAAACAGAGGCCUUAACCACUGAGAUGACAGAAAAGAGUACAAAGGUUGUACAAAAACACAGAUUAUCAGGAAAUUGCCACGGGGUUAGAUUUCAACUUGUAUUUCAGAUUCUGGAAAUUAAGAAUGAGGAAUUUGUCUUUUGUUAUUGCUGAUCUCAACAUAAUAAUGGAGCUCACAGAAUAUUCAGAAUUAAGUGAAUUUAUGUCUAGAGCAGAAGAAAAAAGAGAACUUUUUAUGUUUUUCAGAAGCCUACACUUUUUUGAGGGAUGGUAUAAAUAUCAUAAGCACAUAUUAAAACAUUUUAAGAAA